GAUGAAGAACGUAGCGAAAUGCGAUACGUAAUGUGAAUUGCAAAUUCAGUGAAUCAUCGAGUCUUUGAACGCACAUUGCGCCCCCUGGUAUUCCGGGGGGCAUGCCUGUCCGAGCGUCAUUGCUGCCCUCAAGCACGGCUUGUGUGUUGGGCCCCGUCCUCCGAUUCCGGGGGACGGGCCCGAAAGGCAGCGGCGGCACCGCGUCCGGUCCUCGAGCGUAUGGGGCUUUGUCACCCGCUCUGUAGGCCCGGCCGGCGCUUGCCGAUCAACCCAAAUUUUUAUCCAGGUUGACCUCGGAUCAGGUAGGGAUACCAGCUGAACUUAAGCAUAUCAAUAAGCGGAGGA
rnacentral:misc_RNA from 1 species